CAAAUAUAGUCGAACGGUCGAUACUUUAGACCGUAAAAUUGGACGAUUAGUGUGGUUAAAUUAGAUGUUUAUGAUGAGCCUCACUUCUUAGAGAAAGUUAUUAGUUCAGUAAACUUAUGUGCUAGAAGUUUUAUCAAGAUAUGUUUUUCCAGAUCUGGGUGUUCAUCUUUGUUUGGCUUGCAGAGGAAGUACACAGUUCUCUCCAAUUGAACAAGAAGAAGGGGGACAUACAGCUUCCGAUUGAGUGUUCAUUGAACAGCGAUAUAUCUUUUAAAUUUACUAAUAAAAAAUUCAACAGAACUCAAACCAUUGCAGCAUGCAGCACAAAUAUCAAUAGCUGUUAUUUAAGUGAUAAAAUCCUGGCUCGAAGUUACGCAAUAGCGAAAUCUGACGUCGGUGGAAUACUUUUCAUAAUUGGCGUAGGUGAGGAUACGUUUGGGACGUAUACAUGCUAUGAGACGUACAAUCAUACGAAUUCUGCUGCCGUUGAUAUUAGUGGCAACGAUCUUCAAACUUUUUGUUCGACGGGAAAAGUCAUCCCAGAAAACACUCUCAACUUCAUCGGAGUUGUGCUUGAUGGAGUCCAGACAGUUUUGUUGUGUGUUGGAUUCGUCUGUAUUCUUUGCAUAACGUGCAAAGUGACCUGUUGUAAAAAGAGAAAACUGCUUUGUGAAUGUCGGCAAUGUAAGUCAUAUCAUGAUCCAUAAUGUCACGUAGUUCACGUCUACAUACCCACAAUACCAAUCACAAAUACAUUUCAUAAAGUGAAAACUUGGAUACACGAAGCAAGUAUGACGGAAUAAAACUGAAUAGAGAUGCAUGUCGGUUCAUCCUUUUUCCUGAUUAAGUACAAUACGUUAAAAAGUACGAUACUAUGAAAUCGCAAUGUAACGCAAGAUGUGUAACAGCCAACGCAUUUACAUGGCCCGUGUCAAUGUCUGUAUAUAACUGAGAUAACAAAAAUCAAUAUAUCAAAACAAACUAAACACAUUUCAAGUAUCAUCCCAGUACACCACACAGUUUGAGAUAGGCACAAAGCAGGUGUUUUGCUACCAUUUAAGAUGUAGUUUGAGAUUUGAAUUGAUAUUUUAAUUUAUUUAAUUAUUAAUAAGUUACGCUUGUACACGCUAUGAGAUGUAAAAUUAACAUUUAUUAUAAGAAUAUUGCGUCAUUAACAUAUUUACCGAAAGGAUUCUACGAAAAGCACAAUACCAGGGAGCCGUUUCAUCAACGAUUUACGACUAGUUGUAAAUUACGAUUUACAUAAAUUACGAUGUUUCAAUGAAUUCGCGUUUCAUCAAGCAAAUCGUAGGCUAAAUUAAAAUUACAUAAAUUUCAUACAUAAAUAUACGACUGGGUAAGGGCACCCGUAAAUAAACGUAAUGGUGGUCGUUUUUCUCAUCGACGAUGACAGGAGACGAAUAAUACCAAUGCCAAGGCUUUUUAGGGAGAGAAUUGUUCUCGAAAACACAAGAGAUGAGAAAAUUGUUUCGAUAUAUCGUCUAAGUAGGGGCGGUGCAGAGCGUUUGUUGGUUUUGAUCGGUCACCCACUUGCCGACGAUCUCAUAUUGAUCCCGUCACGCAGGUAGGCUUAUGUAAAUAGGGUGAAGAAACCUCUGACUUCAACAAUUAUAAUUAUAAAAUUGAAUGGAUUUUGAAACAGCAAAUAAGUAGAAUUUAACCCAAAAACGUUAGAGUAGUUACCCUUUGUUUACAUAGCAUUUGACAACACAUGACUUGGAUUUAGCAAAACAUUUGAAGGAUGAAUCAUUGUAUCUUUUCUGAAUAAAAGCUUACGAUGAUAAUUACUGUAAGUUUAUCCUAAAUCGUUGUGUUGCUUUAUAAAAUAGUUAUGUUUAACUCACUAAAAUCUUUGCUGACGUGCACUUAUUGAUGGCAAAAAAUGACGACUUAUUUACCCCACCCACUAAUGACAAUGUUGAACUUGUUGUGAUCGAACAGUUCUUAAUCUCGAAGAUGUUGAAAAUCACACGUUUAUUAAGCGGGUUUCUCAAAACAAAUUGAAUGAUGAUUAUACCAUCAUUAUCAUGAAAAUCAAUGACAAUCCGGUGAUCCGUAUUAUUGUUUAAGUCGGUGUAUCAGCUUUUUCUUACAUUUUAUCGUGAUGGACACUCUUUUUAACAUCCGGCUACCUAAAUUAGUAAUAUAACGUACAUAGGCAUGCUUUUAUCGUGAGCGUAUAUAAUUAUGUGAUUUCUUGUGAGGACUCAUUCUGUGAGACAGCAUCAGACACUACCAGAGGCCGCCAACCUCAAACUACCAAGGGCAGAACUACAGCUCUACACCUUGGGUACCUCGUAAAGUCAACAGGGGAUUCAUACAACUACAACAACAACAACAUAUGGCAUCAAAAUACUAUUUUGGCAUCAUUGAGGUAUAUGGCAAGGGAGAUUUUACUCUGAAGGAUUCCAUGCCAUUAAUGUGCAGGCUGUUGUUGACGUCAACAUGAGCACUAUCAGAGCUACAAUGAUGCGGGUCAUCUGCUGGGAGAUAGUGGGUAUCCGUUAAGGACUUACCUGAUGACCCCUUUACCUCAUCCCUCCAAUGCUGCGGAACAGGCCUAAAAUGACCAUCUAUGUAGACGGUCAAGAUUUUGAUGUCAGCAUGUCACUGAUGGAUGCUUGCCUUUCAAGCCCAAUAAGUGAUGUAAACAAGCAACUGUUUCCAUGCGUCUGCCGUCUGCAUAACCUGUGUCUUGAACGUUCCUCUGAUAAAGGAUUUGGUUUGAGAUGUGAUGGAACCGGAAGUAAUAAACAACACACCAGUACAGGGAGCAGCAUUUAAUAUGAGACAGCAGCUGAUCGAACUGUUAGAUAAAAAUGUUUUAAAUUGGUACAAUUGAUAUAGUUAUUAAUGUUAUUAAGUUAUAGAUCGCUCGAGUCUUCUCUGAAUAGGCAGGCUAUACUUCUCAGUCAAAUGGCUUAAAGUUGUGUCAUCGCUGAUUUGGAAGGAUUGGUAUUCAUGGUGGUCUAGCCAUAUUUUAGUUACAAAAGCUGAUGUUUGCAUGUUUUAUAAUUUUGUAUGCAUAAUUUGGCUAAUAUUUACUUCAAGGUUAUAGGUUUGUGAAACAAACAAAUGCCAAUGUUCUGAGUACCAAUAAAUAAGUUAUGUGUUAGAUAUUACCAAGUGCUUGAUUUAAUAAUUAUUUUAAUAGGACCUUUUCACAGAUUUUGGCAGAUAUUAAAGUUUUUCAUUAAAUGCUUUAUAUUGAUAAAUAUAAACAUUGGAUCUAAAAAGCUCCAGUAAAAAAACAAGAAUAAAAUUAAAGAAAGAAAAAAAAGUAACCCUCAACUGGGCUCAAAGCACUGACCUCUGGAGUAAAAGUCUUACACUUAGACCACUCUGCCAUCCGUGCUCAUACCAUGAGUGAUGUAUUUUAUAAUUUAUAUAAGCAAUCCUCGUCGUGUCACAAAAUAUAUCGACAACAACAGAACUCUCGAAAUUGUUCAAUUGUAUCACGCUGCAACGCUUUAAAAUUUUCAGGUUUUUUAAUCGUCAAAAGAUGCAUAUUAUGGAUAUUUUAGAGCAUGGUAAAUGUUAAGUAUUACUGUUUCCUCACAAAUAUCAUAACUUAACGAACAUUUGCGAAGCUGAAACAUUUACCAAACUGUGAAAUGGUUCCUUAAAUAUUUAACAAUUAUCUGAGCUCCAGAAAAGAACAUAUAUACUGAAGGUGUUUUUCCCCAUGAACAAUUUUUCAAGUGAUAUUUUACCCACUGACCGUUAGCUCUAAUUUGUAUUCUCUGUACUGAAAAUUCUCAAAGCCACAUUAAAAAAGUGGGCUUUUAAAAUUAUUUUUACCAAAAAAUAUAAAGUGUGCUGUCUAUAAAUAUGGAUGUUAGUGUCAUGAAAAACUAGAAGUUUACCUGUAUACAAGAUCUUUGCCAAAUGUAUUUACUUAAAUAUACCCCUUUUAUUAUGCUCUGUUAAAUAAUUAAGUCUUCAUCUACCGUUAAAAUAUGUUGUUUACCUAUGCAAUUGUUUUGUAUUUUCAUAGACAUUUUUAGCUCAUCUAUUUUUUGAAAAAAAUUAUGAGCUAUUGUCAUCACCUUGGCGUCGGCGUCCGGUUAAGUUUUGCGUUUAGGUCCCUUUUUCUCAGAAAGUAUCAAUGCUAUUGCAUUCAAACUUGGUACACUUACUUACUAUCAUGAGGGGACUGGGCAGGCAAAGUUAGAUAACUCUGGCUUGCAUUUUGACAGAAUAAUGUGCCCUUUUUAUACUUAGAAAAUUGAAAAUUUUGGUUAAGUUUUGUGUUUAGGUCCAUUUUAUUCCUACAGUAUCAAAGCUAUUGCUUUCAUACUUGCAACACUUACUAACUAUCAUAAGGGGACGGUGCAGGCAAAGUUAUGUAACUCUGACUGGCAUUUUGACAGAAUUAUGUGCCCUUUUUAUACUUAGAAAAUAGAAAAUUUGGUUAUGUUUUGUGUUUAGGUCCUCUUUAUUCCUACAGUAUCAAAGCUAUUGCUUUCAUACUUGCAACACUUAUUAACUAUCAUAAGGGGACUGUGCAGGCAAAGUUAUGUAACUCUGAUUGGCAUUUGGACGGAAUUAUGGGCCCUUUAUACUUAGAAAAUUGAAAAUUUGGUCAAGUUUUGUGUUUUGGUCAACUUUACCCCUAAAGUAUCAUAGAUAUUGCUUUCAUACUUGGAACACUCGCAAACUAUUAUAAGGGGACAGUAAAAAGACAAGUUGCAUAACUCUGGUUGUCAUUUUUACGGAAUUAUGGCCCUUUUUUGACUUAGUUACUUUGAAUAUAUGGUUAAAUUUUGUGUUUCGAUCCACUUUUAUUCAUGCUAUCAUGAGGUUACUGUACCUGGCAAGUUGAAUUUUACCUUGACCUUUGAAUGACCUUGACUCUCAAGGUCAAAUUAUUAAAUUUUGCUAAAAUUGACAUAACUUCUUUAUUUAUGAUUAGAUUUGAUUGAUACUUUGACAAAACAACUCUUACCUGACAUACCACAAUAGACUCCACCCAAACCAUC